CACAAGCGGUGGAGCAUGUGGUUUAAUUCGACGCAACGCGAAGAACCUUACCAGGGCUUGACAUCCCCUGACCGCGUAUGAAAGUACGUUUUCACCUCGGGUGACAGGGAGACAGGUGGUGCAUGGUUGUCGUCAGCUCGUGUCGUGAGAUGUUGGGUUAAGUCCCGCAACGAGCGCAACCCCUACGUUUAGUUGCUAACGCGUGAAGGCGAGCACUCUAGACGAACUGCCGUUGACAAAACGGAGGAAGUGGGAUGACGUCAAAUCAUCAUGCCCCUUAUGUUCUGGGCUACACACGUGCUACAAUGGCCGGUACAGACGGACGCAAAGCCGCGAGGUGGAGCAAAUCCUAAAAAGCCGGUCUCAGUUCGGAUUGCAGGCUGCAAUUCGCCUGCAUGAAGUCGGAAUCGCUAGUAAUCGCAGGUCAGCAUACUGCGGUGAAUACGUUCCCGGGCCUU
rnacentral:rRNA from 1 species